UACGAAGGGGGCUAGCGUUGCUCGGAAUCACUGGGCGUAAAGCGCACGUAGGCGGCUUUUUAAGUCAGGGGUGAAAUCCUGGAGCUCAACUCCAGAACUGCCUUUGAUACUGGGAAGCUCGAGUCCGGGAGAGGUGAGUGGAACUGCGAGUGUAGAGGUGAAAUUCGUAGAGAUCGGGAGGAACACCAGAGGCGAAAGCGGCGACCUGGACAGGUACUGACACUCAACUACGGAAGCGUGGGGAGCAAACAGG
rnacentral:rRNA from 1 species